rfam:Aspergillus zonatus CBS 506.65 unplaced genomic scaffold ASPZOscaffold_140, whole genome shotgun sequence.
GCUUAGGAAGCUCAAUCGGUUGAGCGGAUCACUGAAGAUGAUUAGGCUGUAAGUUCGAAUCUUACUCUGAGCA